UCCGCCAGUCCUGAGCAUGCAAUACCUAGGACACAGAUGCACACGUCUAACUACAUCAGUGUCAGCGCUAAAGCACUUCAGCAACAUCCAUCAGUUUAUGAGGAUAGAUUGGGUCUUGCUGUACUCUGCAGAGUCCUCCAGAAGAUGGAAACUUUGUUAGCACAGAGUGAAAAGUGUCAUCUGCAUUCAGGUAAAUGCUACUACAUUGCUUACACUUAAGCUAUACUGUUAAGUCAUUAAAGCAAACAAAAAGUGUAAGAUUUAAAAAUGCUCCUUUAUUUAUUUGUUCAGUUUCCUGAAAGGUACUAAGCUUUCUCUGGUACUCUGUAACUCCAGAAGCCAGGUAGGAGCUAGUAAAUAACAGGGAAUUUGUUAGAGGUGCUGUUGUACUAUGACCUGCCUGGCUGUGGCACAGUAAUUUGAACUAGUGAUGUCAGAAGCCAGGCAGGAACAUAGAUCUCCAGAUGUUCCUGAUGAUUGUUUUUGUUGCUUCUAUGGGCCAGCAAUGGGACUCUUUCCAGCUGCACUUCUUAUGUGCUUGUGUUAAUUACAGAAUAGCAGACUACUGUGUUCAUUCAUAUUGCAGACACAGUGACAGCUGCUAGCAGUUGUAGAGCUGCGUUUCAAACACAUGCUCAUCCCAAAACAAAUGUUAAUACUAGCUGAUCUAGUCUAACCUUUCUAUCCCAACAACACUUAUAGCUAGUCAGCUGCAGGGUGAGAGUUUGGCUCAUGUAUAACCAGUUUGUGAUCUUUGAGAGGUGAUACAUCAGUUUGAGCUUAUAUUAGUCUGAAAAUAAGAUUUCAAUGGAAGUGGUACCUUUAAAUUCUUGUGCACUACCUGCUGCUUACCACCAUGCUACAGAUCACAUCUUGCCAUGGGCCAGAACAAAUUAAGACUCUACUCUAAGAAGGAAGAGAUUAUUUUGUGUUUAUAUCACAUUACAACAGUCUGUCCCAGCAUGUACUGGACUGUGCUGAAAGAUACUGGAGUCUCUCUGAGGUAGAAUUUCCCCAUAUCUGCUAAUGAUACAAAGGAACGAGAGACACAAAGAAUGUUAGCUGGCUUUUUAUUUGUCUGAACUAAAAUAUUCUUUAAAAAAACCCCAAACACAAAACUAUGGAUGGAAUAGUUUUUCAUAGUCAUAAUCUGACUCACUGUAUCACAACAGGAAGGAUAAGUAAUAGCCCAGACAACUGGAGAAAAGUUUUGCACCUUUAUGAAUUGCGGUGUGGGGGAAGAGGUAACAGUUCCUAUGCUUCACAUCCAGUCAGAAGGAGUAUAAUUAAAUGCAUGGCUUGCAUUUAGACACUGCAGCAUGGCUUCAUUAGGCUUUUAGCCUAUAGGGCUUGUUUCCAGCAUUUACUAAGUGCUUCUUCUCAAAUGCUACAGUCCUGACUGUAGCAGUGUGACCAAACCCCUUAGUAUUAGGAUACUAUGUUCUGGCUGGCACUAAAAGAUAAAAUUAAGUAAGAGAGGGGCUGCAGUAGAGCUGGCAUAGCCCUGUGAGCUCACUUAUACUCAGUGGACAGUACUGGAGAGAUGAGGACGGUUCUGAUUUCUACAGUCUGUUGGACAGUAAGUCACCACUGGUUUGACCAGAGCUGUGACACAGACUGGCUUUCAGUCUGAGAGGAAGAGAAGAGAAACACAGAUCCUAAAGUCAUGGAGAGAAACCUCUGGUCUGCUGUGAAUGACAUUAGGAAUCCAGACCCACAUUGAGCUUAAAUACUAUCACAUUCAGCUGCUUAGCAAAAGUAAGGCCUAGCCCAGCAGCUCAAGGGGUUUAAGAAAACAUGGUCUUUUAAACAUUUAAAAAAGUGUACAUGUUCAUUUUUGUCUAGUAUUUGAAGUGUUACACAGAGUGUGAUACAGUGCCACUUACGCUCUGGUGUAAGUGGGAGAUGUUUUGUUAGUGGAG